rnacentral:rRNA from 1 species
GACGAACGCUGGCGGCGUGCUUAACACAUGCAAGUCGAACGGUGAACCUCUUCGGAGGGGAUCAGUGGCGAACGGGUGAGUAACACGUGGGCAACCUGCCCCCGGCUCUGGGAUAACUCCAAGAAAUUGGGGCUAAUACCGGAUGUUCACCGCUUCCCGCAUGGGUGGUGGUGGAAAGGGUUUCCGGCUGGGGAUGGGCCCGCGGCCUAUCAGCUUGUUGGUGGGGUAGUGGCCUACCAAGGCGACGACGGGUAGCCGGCCUGAGAGGGUGACCGGCCACACUGGGACUGAGACACGGCCCAGACUCCUACGGGAGGCAGCAGUGGGGAAUAUUGCGCAAUGGGCGGAAGCCUGACGCAGCGACGCCGCGUGGGGGAUGACGGCCUUCGGGUUGUAAACCUCUUUCAGCAGGGACGAAGCGCAAGUGACGGUACCUGCAGAAGAAGCACCGGCCUACUACGUG